AAAUUCUUUCUAUUUAUGGUCCGGAGAAUAUAAAACUCACUAAUACGUAGCAGCAAAAUAGCUUGGUAAGUUUGCAUAGUUCUCUAGGAUCAGAAAGAAAAGACAAAGUAGGCAUCAAGUACACAAAGUAUUAACGGAUUAAUGACGCAGCCUUAGGUAAGAGAACGGCAACAGGUGAAGCAUUUUGGGGAAAGGUCCUAGUUGAUUAGCCUUUUAAAAUAAACGUUCUGAAGUUAAUCUAAAUCGGACAGAGUGCUCUACUAACAAAGCUAGAGAGAAAUUGGUCGAAAUCCUUUUUAUCCUCAGACUAAUAUCGUAGUCUGAGGAUCGAAAUGAUUUUGAUCCAGUAUCAACUAUAUAAUAGUUCUACACCUAAAAACAAUCGUCACUAGUAACAAUAAUCAUUAUUACUGUACGCUGCUACCACAUAUUUACAUAUCGAAGCGGUAUUAUAUAAACAUUGGAUUCCAAGUGGAACGCAUGCGAGAGGAUAAUGCGCAUUACGUGCCUGCGCAAUGUCCAAAAUGGGGGUGGUUGGGCGCUCAAUCGUAUUGCAACAAUUCACGCGACCUUUUAUUUGCCAGUAGUCGUCGCUACCAAAGGAGACUUCAAAGUCAAAUUUUUUGUACGCAGUUAACAGUUAGUUGUCGCCAAAAACCCAAACACAAUUGAGAGAAAAAAACACACAAAAAUAUUACAUUUACGAUAAAAUACGAUUAAACUUGUACUUCCAAUAUUUGUAAUAAAUAUACAUAUAAACUAAAACGAACUCUGAUUCCUAAUAAAUUUAGUGAUUAUAAAAAUUCUUGUGUAAGUUUUCAAUUCUUACGAAUCCAUGAAAUCUUUAGCAGCAGAGGCAGCAGCUCGGUUGUGAAAAGGAAACGAAUCACCACGCAAACUAAAGUCGUGUAUGAGGAAAAACUGCCGCUGUGUCACUUCGGACUUUAUCGAAUUUUCCUAAAGUUGAGCGUAAGUAAAGUUUCAUGUAUUGAGCUAUGUAUGCAUGUAUGUACAUUCGGAGUUAUGUACAUCAGUACACAUGUAUGUGUGUAUAUAAAACGUAAUAGGUGUAAUUAUUUGUGAAAUUGCUUUCAAUAAUCACGAAAAGGUAAAGCCGACAACAGUGGUCAAAAAUAAUUUUUUUUUUUUCAUCAUACUUUAUGAUAAAUACUUAAAUCAGGAGCCUGAAUUAAAGAACCCAAUUAAAUUACGGCGUUUAAGUGUAAUAUCCGCAGUACUGGAAGCUAUUGUUGAUCUCUUUCCUUGGACAUUCUACUCUUUAAACUCUUAAAGGUGUUGGUAUACUAGGAAAUACGCCUAGAAACGAGGUAAAUGAAAAUUAGCUGCGCUUAAAGAUCAAUAUACAUAUGUACAUACUUACAUACAUACAUAUUUAUGUAUUACACUUCAAGUUUUCAUAUUCCAUAGUGAAACGAGCACCACGCUAGUGCCUCUUUCAGGUUGUAUUUCCUUAAAGCAAAAAACAAAAAAGUGCAUGUGGAACAUUGGCAACAAAUAAAAAAUUUAGAAAUUAAUUUUUAGUCCCAAAAUCAGAAUUAAGGAGGGACUAAGUUCGAGUGUAGAUGAAUAUUUUAUACUCUCGCAACUUACAAGGAUUAAAGCCGGUGAAAUACCUUCAGAUGUUGUAAACCUUUAAUUAAAAACUGUUGCAAACAAUUCAACAUGCACUAUUCGAGAAACAGAAUGCAUUAAAAUAAAAUUUUCUAUUUUAUUAACAUAAACGAGUAGCAUAGGUUAUAGGCUCACUUGGUGUCAUUACUACGUUUUGCAUGUGCGAAAUAAUAAUAUUAAGCUCAACCAUUAAGGCAUCGAUUGCCUUAUACUGCUGUAAAGGAGUCUUUGGCAAGUGGUCUUUUGGCUUUACGACACCAGUAAAGCCCAUUAUGUUUUAUGGAGUCUUUAGGUGGUGCAGGGCUCUAUAAAAGACCACACUUGCAAAGAAACUCGAGAGCAUUCAACGGGUGGCGCUAAUCAGCACUUGUAGUUCACUUCAGGCAUGGUACUUAAAGCCCUCUUGCACAUAGUGCCCGUAAACAUUGUCGGAAGGAGUAUAGCUGCAAAAGUUGCUAUCCAACUCAGAGAAUCUGGGUUCUUAAAAGAAUACGUAUCUGAACACUCGCAUAUCCUCACACACUUUGACUUCAUACCCGGAACACUUGGAUCAUGUGGUCGCCAAGACGGCUCAUUCUCUACACUUAUACCGACGAAAGAGUUGUUGGUGGGAAUGAACCGUUGAAAGAUAGGGGCAGUGAGCUUCUUUAAAUCUUGGGGGGAAGGUUAGUGGAUAUGUUUACUGUUAGGAACCCUUAUCAACUCCAGCUUCAGACUUCCAUCAAUAGCAUCGAGUGUCUUUGUGAUAAGGCUGGGUCAUUGCGGAAUUGCAGGAAAUUGCAAAACUGAUGAGCUAGCAAGGUAAGGUACCCUAGAACCGCUAUCGGUAGAAUGGGAGCGGGUCAGUGCUCCCAUAUCCUCUUGAGUUCUACUACUAGAUAGCCGAGAUUCGCGGAAACUUGGCCGCCGUUGGGCCACCAUCGGUACAUGCGCUUUCGCAAAAGGCUUUUGACCCGAUGCUAUUGAUGGCGAGGUUAGGCACUCCUCGACGAACCCUAAACGCACUGUUAAUGAGUUCAAGGCUAGUACACAUUUUUGCCACAAGCCCAUGCUAUCAUUAUAAAAAUAUUUUCCCCGAACUUCAAUACGAAACCUCACAGAUUGACGUUUUUUGUAGCCCUAGUGAUUUUUUUCCAGAAGCUAAAAGAAAAUUUCACUCAAAGACGAGGUCAAGAACGGUAACAAACGAUUGCUUUGAAGAGUUCGAACCUGCACGCCAUCGAACCCAUAUUGAAAUUACAGUGAAGUUACAGCCAAUGUACUGCUCUUGUUGAAGAUUAUGCCGAAGAAUAAAGCCAUAUUUUCAUGCAAAAAACGUUCUUUCAUUAUUAGACUAAAGAUCUUUCAGUCCAUGUAAUACAUAUUAUAUACAUACAUACGUACUUCAAAUAAAUUUUUAUCCAAUGGAUUUGUGUGAUAUUAAUAAAGCAAACUAAAACUGGUUUCAACCAACUUCCUGAUAAUGAAGUACACUAGUUCUAACAGAAAUUUGGAUUUAUGCCUGUGCAAAAUCAAAAUACCAACUACUAGUAACUUGGUUCAAUAGCAGUAUAUGAGUCAUUAUGGAAUA